CUCAACUAAGAGAGCCCAUUUGUCACCUCAGGGGUGAUGGAGUCUCGCUCUGUCACCCAGGUUGGAGUGCAAUGCGAUCUCCAUACACUGCGAACUCUGCCUCCUGGGUUCACGCCAUUCUCCUGCCUCAGCCUCCCGAGUAGCUGGGACUACAGGUGCCUGCCACCACACCCAGUUGUGCUUUCCACCUCACACUACCCAGACGGGGAGAAUGGCAAAGCCCAGAAAACCAGCCAACAAGCAGCCACUCAUCAGAAUCCCUGCAGUCACUCAAGAAUCUGCGUGUUAGAUAGAGCAUAAUUUCCAGGAGGGAUUAUUUCACUCUCCUAUUUGAGCAUACAGUUGGAAUGAGGGGCCUUUGCUCUCUCUUUCCAGGAAAUUUCCCCUGCAGCAGUUUUUCUGCCCUUGCUUCAUUCAGCAGACAUCACUGAGAACGCGUUCAGUGGGAAAAGGAUUGUGCCUCUGUGACACUGUGAAAUAUAUAUUUGGGCUUCAUCUGUUUCCUGGCACAUGGCUCAUAAAACACUUGGAAUAUCCAAAGUCAUAAGAGUCUUUUGUAUGUCAACGAAAUGACUGCUGGUUGGGGGCCCCUGAAUAGCCUCAGGAUGGGGCUGGUUCCCAGGGGAACCAACCAAGUGGUCAGAGGGUUGGAACUUUCAGCUCCAAUGGGACCUCCUGGGAGGGAAGAGGGGCUGAAGAUUGAGUUGACCACCAAUGGCCAAUGAUGUCAUCAGUCAUGCCUACAUAAUAAAGCCUCCAUGAAAUCCCAAAAGAACAGACUUUGAGGAGUUUCUGGCUAGCUGAACACGUAGAGAUUCCUGGAGGAUGGUGUUCCCGGAGGGGGCAUGGAAGCUCCAUACCCUUUCUCUCGUAUGCAUCUCCCUAAGCAUCUCUUCAUCCUGAGGCAU